AUAGCGUAUAUUAAAGUUGUUGCGGUAAAAAAGCUCGUAGUUGGAUUUCUGUUGAGGGCGUCCGGUCCGUACCACGUACGCGUAUCUGGGUCGCGCUCGGCAUCCUCUCGAAGAACGGUUCUCGCGCUUGAUUGCGUGGUCCGGGUUUCGGGACUUUUACUUUGAGGAAAUUAGAGUGUUCACGGCAGGCAAUUGCCCGGAUACAUUAGCAUGGAAUAAUACUAUAGGAUUUUGGUUCUAUUUUGUUGGUUUCUAGGACUAAAAUAAUGAUUAAUAGGGACAAUUGGGGGCAUUCGUAUCAACACGCUAGAGGUGAAAUUCUUGGAUUGUGUUGCGACGAACUACUGCGAAAGCAUUUGCCAAGGAUGUUUUCAUUGAUCAAGAACGAAAGUAAGGGGAUCGAAGAUGAUUAGAUACCGUCGUAGUCUUUACCACAAACUAUGCCAACUAGAGAUGGGGCAUCGUUCAAUACGACUUGCUCCACACCUUAUGAGAUAUCAAAGUCUUUGGGUUCCGGGGGGAGUAUGGUCGCAAGUCUGGAACUUAAAGG
rnacentral:rRNA from 1 species